UAUUAUUUUAUUUUUUUGAAACGAAAGAACAUUGAUCAGAAUAUGCUUGAUCAUGAAAUGGUUGUUUAUAACCGAUAUUUGUUAACAUUCUGACAAACAACGUAGUAACCGAGACACCGUUUCCCAGUUUAUCACGAGAAACAUCCGGUGUUAAACUUCAACGUUUCUUGGUUUAAAUUGUGGAAUUGCAAGUGGUGCUGAACCAUGUUGCCAAGAUGUGCACUACCACUACUCAUGGGAUUUUGCCCAGCAAGUCCACUAUCCACAUCAUGCCAACAAGUUGGGCCGAUAUAUUUCGCCACCCCACAGAAGUGUCAUGUGUUUCGCAUGUGUGCCUUAGGUUCAGCUAUGUUUUUAUGGAAAGUAGACAUUUUAUCUGGUGGACGAGGCCGAAUUGCCGGGGAAAGGAAGUGACAGUGUCGUGAGCCUGGCCCACCACUACUUUCAGCACUAUGGUGUCGGUGAAAAACAUGCUGAGGUUUAUUUCGAUAAUGCUGUCGGCCAAAACAAGAACAAUGCUGUGCUUUGGUAUGCCAUGUGACCUGUAAUGACAGGAUUGCAUGAGAGUGUAACACUAAACACUAUGUUGGCUGGGCACACCAAAUUUGCUCCUGACUGUCACUUCGGCAACUGGAAGGUCCAGUGGCGAUGUUGUAAUGCCGAGAAUCUUCAAGAAAUUGCCCACACUGUUUUCACCUCUUCAAAGUCCGGCCACAACAUCCCACACUUGGUUUAUGACCCUCAACAGCCAAUCACAGUUCACAGUUGGAAAUCAUUCCUAGAUACAUAUUUCAAAACUCUAAAGAAUAUCACCAAAUACCACCAUUUCUAUGUAUCAAAACAUAAACCAGGAGUUUAGUAUGCAAAGAGUUUGUAGAUUCCUCAGAAAUUGAAGUUAUUCUUUUGAGGAUGAGUCCAGAAUGUGGUGUUUUGCCUGAAAUAAAGCACGCAACGUGCCUAGAUGCUGAACGUCAAUCGUACCUUCAAUAUUCUUUUGGUCCAUUCUUUAGAUCUGAGUCAUCAAGAUCUGCAGUAUGCCCUAAACCAACUCUGUGUAAAGUCGAAGUUUACUCAUUUGUUGGUGAAAUGUCGAUUGUAGAUCAAAUGUUUGUGGCAAAUAUGAAAGAAAUGAGUAAAAAAUGGCAUUAUCACAUGUAACCAUAGCAACAGGCUGUUGUUUUAUGUAGUUCUUUUAUGUCAUUUUGUACAUAUAAUGAACAAUGUGUACUCUUUGUGUCUAUGAAUUAGUUUAUGUGUUAGCUAUAACAGACAGUUAAGUUAGUAUUUCGGCAUGGACACUGCAUUUAAAAUAAGAACAUUUUUAGUGGACAUUGUUUUCAAACUGGCUUACCAAUGUGUAACAGAAUGAUCCAUAUCUUUUGAUUUCUUUGUACAAAAAUGACUAGAAACUUUAGUUUUUAUACCUAAGAUACUUGGUAUCAUUUACAUGCCAAUAACUUAAAAC